rnacentral:lncRNA from 1 species
AGGCAUGGAGAAAGUGUCCAUGGGCUUCAUGGUCGGAGCAGCAAGAGCCCACCAUCGCUGUGACCAUCAAUAAACCUUCAUGAAUUAACCUGUUGAGAGGAGGGAUGGGAGAAUCUUACAUUGCAGCUGUAAGAUUAAAUGCUGCUGUUGAACCCUGGACAAUUUCCUGCCACUAAUCUUUUGGUCUGACUAAUAUAGCUAGAUAUAUUACUCAAACCUUUCAGUGAUGGAAAUCAUACCUGGAUCUGGUAAGCAGAGAGAGCAGACCUAUGUCAUCCAUGGAUAUGUGGCUGGGGAGAGUGCAGCUGGCCUGCAGUGGCUAAACCUUUUAAUUCUACCUGGGGGAAUCUGAUUGAGCAAGGGAAAGGUGUAAGUCAUCCACACCUGCUUCAGAGUGGCAGCUGCACUGGAGGUGAGCAUGUUUGUCACACAUACAGGAGUUCACCUCGGUGCCUCCACUGCCAUAACUGCCUAGCACUUCUGGAAAAUCACGUCACCCAUUUUGAUGCAUGAAUAUGUACCUAGGAAUUUAAUUACAGGUGUCUGUCUUUGUAAAAUGCAUGCCAGCAUUAUGGCCUGAAUCCCACUCAUUUCACUGUGUGGCGUGUCCCAACUAGUGCCUACUAGGGACUGGCUCCAGUACCUCUGAAGGCUGAGGACAUGUUGAUCUCAAGAAUGUAGUUGAAGUUGGCUGGGUCUGGGCUUUGUUUCAGGGCCUGCGUUGACUGAUGAGGGUAGAGGAGCAGAGUAAGGCUCCAAAGGUGCAGGUGUUGGGGAUGGAAAGCUGUUAGAUCAGUAGGCGCUGUCUCCACAGCUUGCCCCAUCUCCCAUGGGAGCAGCCAGUCCUCUGAUCUGGCCCAGUGUGCCAGCUGGAGACUGGCAAGCCUGAACAACAACCCACACCUCCCCUUGCCUCCAUCCACCUUUCCACAAACUGCCUGCCCACGUGAAGCCUGGUAAAUAAAUUCUUGUACUGAACUGACUUGCA